UACGAAGGGGGCUAGCGUUGCUCGGAAUCACUGGGCGUAAAGCGCACGUAGGCGGCUUUUUAAGUCAGGGGUGAAAUCCUGGAGCUCAACUCCAGAACUGCCUUUGAUACUGGGAAGCUUGAGUCCGGAAGAGGUGAGUGGAACUCCGAGUGUAGAGGUGAAAUUCGUAGAUAUUCGGAAGAACACCAGUGGCGAAGGCGGCUCACUGGUCCGGUACUGACGCUGAGGUGCGAAAGCGUGGGGAGCAACCAGG
rnacentral:rRNA from 1 species